GGUUUGAUUAUGGCUCAGAUUGAACGCUGGCGGAUGCUUUGGCUAAUACGCAAGUCGAACGGCAGCACGGACUUUAUUCAGUAUGAGUGGCGAACGGGUAGCAAUGUAUCGGAACGUGCCUAGUAGCGGGGGAUAACUACGCGAAAGCGUAGCUAAUACUGCAUUAUUCUUCGGGGGAAAGCGGGGGAAUCUUUCGGGCCUCGCACCAUUAGAGCGGCCGAUAUCGGAUUAGCCAGUUGGUGGGGUAACGGCUCACCAAGGCGACGAUCCGUAGCUGGUUUGAGAGGACGACCAGCCACACCGGACCGAGACACGGCCCAGACUCCCACGGGAGGCAGCAGUGGGGAAUUUUGACAAUGGGGAAACCCUGAUCCAGCCAUCCUGGCGUGUGCGAUGAAGGCCUUCAAGUUGUAAAGCACUUUACAGGAGUACAAACGGCAUCGGAUAAUACCCCGUGCAACUGAUUGGUACUUGAAUAAGCACUGUCAAUGAACGGUCGCGCCAGCAGCCGCGGUAAUACGUAGGGUGCAAGCGUUAAUCGGAAUUACUGGCGUAAAGCGUGCGCAGGCGGUCUGGAAAGAAAGAUGUGAAAUCCCAGGAGCUUAACUUUGAAUCCAUUUUUAACUACCGAGCUAGAGCGUGUCAGAGUGGAGGUGGAAUUCGCGUGUAGCAGUGCAGAAAUGCGUAGAUAUGCGGAGGAACACCAUUAAGGGAAUUCGAGCUUCCGAUAACACUGACGCUCAUGCACGAAAGCGGAGCAAACAGGAUUAUUACCCCGCAGUCCACGCCCUAAACGAUGUCAACUAGCUGUUGGGGCCUUCGGGCCUUGGUAGCGCAGCUAACGCGUGAAGUUGACCGCCUGGGAGUAGCUGGCCGCAAGAUUAAAACUCACAAAGCGAAUUGACGGUGUAUUCCUGCGCAAUGGUUAUGGAUGAUGUGGAUUAAUUCCGACGCAACGCGAAAACCUUACCUACCCUUGACAUGUCUGGAAUCCGGAAGAGAUUUGGGAGUGUCGCAAGAGAACCGAACACAGGUGCUGCAUGGCUGUCGUCAGCUGUGUCGUGAUGUUGGGUUAAGUCCCGCAACGAGCGCAACCCUUGUCAUUAGUUGCCACGAAAGGGCACUCUAAUGAGACUGCCGGUGACAAACCGGAGGAAGGUGGGGAUGACGUCAAGUCCUCAUGGCCCUUGUGGUAGGGCUUCACACGUCAUACAAUGGUCGGGACAGAGGGUCGCCAACCCGCGAGGGGGAGCUAAUCCCAGAAACCCGAUCGUGAACUGGAUCGCAGUCUGCAACUCGACUGCGUGAAGUCGGAAUCGCUAGUAAUCGCGGAUCAGCAUGUCGCGGUGAAUACGUUCCUGGUCUUGUACACACCGCCCGUCACACCAUGGGAGUGGGUUUUACCAGAAGUAGUUAGCCUAACCGUAAGGAGGCGAUUACCACGGUAGAUCUGGCGACUGGAAGAAGUCGUAACAAGGUAA
rnacentral:rRNA from 1 species